AGAGUUUGAUCAUGGCUCAGGAUGAACGCUAGCUACAGGCUUAACACAUGCAAGUCGAGGGGCAGCAUGUUGGUUGCUUGCAACCAACGAUGGCGACCGGCGCACGGGUGAGUAACGCGUAUCCAACCUACCCUUGUCCAUCGGAUAACCCGUCGAAAGGCGGCCUAACACGAUAUGCGGUUCACAGCAGGCAUCUAACGUGAACGAAAUGUGAAGGAGAAGGAUGGGGAUGCGUCUGAUUAGCUUGGUUGGCGGGUAACGGCCACCAAGGCUACGAUCGAGUAGGGGUUCUGAGAGGAAGGUCCCCCACAUUGGAACUGAGACACGGUCCAAACUCCUACGGAGGCA
rnacentral:rRNA from 1 species